rnacentral:tRNA from 1 species
GCCGCCUUAGCUCAGUUGGUAGAGCGGGGCCCUUGUAAUGCUCAGGUCAUCGGUUCGAUUCCGAUAGGCGGCU